rnacentral:lncRNA from 1 species
CAGAGUUGGUUGGCUUUCAUAAUCGUGCCUGAUGAACACCUGUGUGCAUUUUCCUGCAUAUGUUUUGGGGCACCCUCAUCCAAUCAUCCCACGCAUAACAAUGUUGUUGGCUGGAUGUGGAUGUGGUGGUGUAUUGUAAAAGAAUUUAAACAGGGGCCAAGGGACUGCGUGUUAUACCACGACUUUAGAAAAGUACCUAUUGGCGGAUGGGGGUCUAGUGAUAUGACAUAGGCUAGGCACGACUGGUAGAUCACACAGCAAUGCUAACAGAAGAUUCCGGGAUCGAGAUAUGUCAGGGUCGGAAAUCCUACUGAUGGUGGAGGGUAAAAUUGCCCCUAGUCGAUGGACGGUGGUGACUUGGAAGAAAGUGAUUGUGCGAACUGACCAGAAAUGGAGUUAAGUCGUCGUUAAUCUGACAGAUUCCGUUGGAUGCCGGUGGUGGGUGCUGAACCUGAGCGAACCACUGAGAAGUUUACAAGGGCGAAUAGAUGAGGGUGCGCCGAAAUCCCGGGGAAAGCAGGGUCUGCCGGGUAGUGACUGCAGGGUUAACAUAUGACCCCCCUGUCCCACACAUCAUACUACACCGCGUGAGGGCCCCCGGCGGCCAGGAGGGCCCCGAUCGGAUCGACAAUUUGUUAAAUUGUUAUGCUGAUCAUAAUCCAUCUACGUUAGGCACUACUGGUAGAGCAUGCACCAAUGCCCCCGGAGAUUCCGGGUUCGAGACCUGUUCGGACCGAAUAUUUCUCCGGUAAUGGAAGGUAGCUGUGCUUCAAAUCGAUGGUUCCUGGUGACACGAGUGGAGUAACCUUAAGAGCUGACCAGGAAUGGUGUUGAGUCGCCAUUGAUCCGGUAGAUUCCAUGGAAUGCCGGUGGUAGGUGCGGAACUUGAGCGAUCCACUGAGAAGUUGACCAGGUGAGGGUGCCCCGAAAUACCGGGUCUGCCAGGUACCGGUCGCAGGGUGAAGAUAUGAUUCCCCUGUCGCACACAUCAUACUUGAAACCAUUAGCGGUGGUUGGCUGCCUUGGGAUAUGAAUUAGACGAAAAUGUACGGCUAAUUGGUUUUCUAUUGUCGUGAUGUCAUAGCAUCUGAUCGUAUAUUACUGCCAGGUAUAUGAUACGUGCAAUGGCCUGCUGUAGUAGCUGGCCGCUGAAAAGGCCUCUUGAUAUGCUGGUGGAGCGCUUAGCGCAUAUAUGUAUUUGUCAUGCGUGCCGUACUGUAUACCAGCUACUAUACCUGCCGUACUAUACCAGCUACUAUACCUGCCUACUAUACCUGCCGUACUAUACCAGCUACUAUACCUGCCCGUAAACACGAUUUCUACGGGCAUGUUGUCAAUCGCGUCAAUCGUGUUUAUGUGCAUGCAUGCAUGCAUGCAUGGCAACCGCUUCAAUGGUAGAGCGUAAGCCUCCCUUCCAUGGCUCCUUUCCUGCUUUCCUCGACACCUGCGCCAUUGGUCAGCCCUUGCCUACCGGCACCCUUGGACUUCCGCCUCGUCUCAUCGUGUAGGCUCGUCGAACGCCUCUGGGGGGUAACGGAUGGUGUUUGUAACGCAUACACACCUGUGUAUAUGCACAUGUGCAUGAUAUCCAUCCAAUCGAACAUCCUGCCUCCAGUCCGCAUUAAGAUUCAGGAGGACAAGUGUGCCUGCUGUUACAACAAGCCUUAUUAUGAGACUAAUCUGAUAUUGCGGGGUUUGGCUGCACCGCGGUAGGUCACCGACCCACAGCUGUCCCUGUGGUUGAUGUUCUGAGCCUCUUCCUCUAUUGAAGGGACUCCCUUACCAUUGCGUGAAUACAAUCUUGUGUCACGAGUUGUGCUAUUGUAAUAAUUUGCAGGCCGCAGCGUUUGCAGCUUUUGCUCGCUGCCGCCGCCGAACGAACGGCAUUUCAUCAUUUUGCAUCAUAUCCGUAGGAUAGUUACAGCUCGAAGGACGGCGGAGCCGCACUAACAUGGUAUGAAACCUUGCAGAUGUGUCAUCGAUCGUCCGCCCCUCAGGUCAAGGUUUGGGUUUCAUGGACGGCCGGGAGCAGGGACGCCAUCAUCAGGGUAGAGCUCAGAAACUCAGGAUGGAACCGAGCGAAUGCAUAAUGAACUGCAAUUCAUAGAACACAUAUGUGUGUACCAGGUAAGCAUAUCCAUACAAUGCUCCGAGCCGGGGGGUGUUUUUCCAAGCAAGGUAAGGCGCAACAGCAACUAUCUUGAUGUCAAAAAUCUUACAGUCUGGUGAAGUUCUUGUGCUAGUAUGGCUUGACUGACGUUUUCCUUUCGCCUUUCCUUUUCUUCUUUCCUUUGCUAGGGUAAGGCGGUUCACGAGCCUUUGGUUCAUGACCAGAAACAAAAUGAAACAUGCUAUUUGCUCAAGUUCACGUUCGUUGACCCUGAGUAUGACUUAUCCAGAUCGCCCUAGGUGUGCCUGCAACGUUACCAUUCUUCUACAACCUUAGUUGUUGCGGACGAAAGCUCUCGCGAAACUUAACAAAAAAAUUAUUUUUACUUUUACAGAUAAACUGCGUUAUGACAUAACGAUAUCGUUUGCGAUAUCGUUUUCACAUAACGGUUAUGUGAAAACGAUAUCGCAAACGAUAUGAUCUUGUGUUGACGCUUCGUGUGACAGGCCCUUGGAAACAGGAAAGGCUUCCAGAUACAUCCAAUACAUAUAAUACGGUUUGGCAUAAUCAUGCAUAUAUAAGCUUUUCACUGGAAAAUGUCAAACGACGAAAGUCGCAACCAGGCGCAAUAGGGCUGUAACUAUCUUGGGCAACUGUAACAGCAGCUGAAACGGAUACAGGGUGGGUAAAUUGCAGUUAGAGUUAGUGUAUUUCAGACAGGUGCCGGCCAUCAUGGGCGGACCUCGAGACCGAGCCGACGUAUAUUGCGGCAACAGCACAGCCACCAUGCGCGCCCUCAUUACGGGAGGCAGCGGCUAUCUGGGAUUUCGCCUUGGGACCGAGCUCGCCAAGCAAGGCAUCGAGGUGGUACUUCUGGACAUCGCCCGCCCCGCACAGGCUCUGCCUGCCGGCGUGCAUUUUUUUCCUGGCAGCGUCGCCGAUGCAGCCGCGGUCGAUGCAGCAUUUACCUCUUUGCCCGGGUCCAUAGAUGCAGUCUUCCACGUCGCAUCGUACGGGAUGUCAGGGCGGGAGCUCCGAGACCGCUCCAAAAUCUUCUCCGUUAACGUUGGUGGGACACGCAAUGUGAUUUCAUCUUGCUUACGCUACGGCGUGCCCCGGCUGGUCUACGUGUCUACCUGCAACGUGAUCUUCGUGGGCAAGUGAGAACGCGUGUCAUCAGCAAACGCAAAAAAGGGGGACCCGUUGAGGGCAUGAGCCCGCCCCGUGCAUGUUUGUGUGUCAAGCAUAAAAGCCAUAACUAGGUUAGGCACUACUGGUAAGGCACGGACCAUUGACCCCGGGAGAUCCCGGGAUUGAGACCUGUCAGGGUCGAAAAUCCUACCGAUGGUGGAAGGUAAAGUGCCCCUAGUUGAUGGUGGUGACCUGGGAUAAAAGAAACCUGCGAGCCGACCAGGAAUGGAGUUGGGCCGCCGUCGAUCCUGCAGAUUCCGUUGGAUGCUGGUGGUGGGUGUGGAACCUGAGCGAUCCACUGAGAAGUUGGCUAGGGUGACUGGAUGAGGGUGCCCCGAAAUACCGGGG